GUGGGAGGGGGCUUGCUCCCGAAAGUGGUGUGCCAGUCACAGAUUUUUGACUGGCACACCACUUUCGGGAGCAAGCCCCCUCCCAC
rnacentral:misc_RNA from 1 species